rnacentral:rRNA from 1 species
GACGAACGCUGGCGGCGUGCUUAACACAUGCAAGUCGAGCGGUAAGGCCCUUUCGGGGGUACACGAGCGGCGAACGGGUGAGUAACACGUGGGUGACCUGCCCUCAGCUCUGGGAUAAGCCUGGGAAACCGGGUCUAAUACUGGAUAUGACUCCAUGACGCAUGUUGGUGGGGUGGAAAGCCUUGUGCGGCUGAGGAGUGGGCCCGCGGCCUAUCAGCUUGUUGGUGGGGUGAUGGCCUACCAAGGCGACGACGGGUAGCCGGCCUGAGAGGGCGACCGGCCACACUGGGACUGAGACACGGCCCAGACUCCUACGGGAGGCAGCAGUCGAGAGGCUUCGGCAAGUGGGGGAAACCCUGACCGAGCGACGCCGCGUGGAGGAUGAAGGCC